UGUUGCAAUAGCAUUCCUGCUCAGUACAAGAACUAGUGCAGACAUUUGGUGUAUGUUUUUGGCUGAAGAGCCAAUGGUGUGAAGCUACUGUCUGCGGGAUUGUGACUAAAAGCCUCAGAGUCAGAAUCCUGCCGCAGUGAUA
rnacentral:ncRNA from 1 species